AACAAAAAAGCUAAGGAUAAGGAAGCGGGAUGUCCCUCCUCCAAGUCUUGCUGAGGCUGGAAUGCAGUGGUGUGAUAAUGGCUCACUACAGCCUCAACCUCCUGGGCUCAAGUGAUCCUCCCACCUCGGCCUCCUGUGCAGCUGGGACCACAGGCACGCACACCACCAUACCCAGCUAAUUUAGAGCCACUCUCCUGAUGCUCAUUAGCAAGCCAGCCUCUGGCCCCUCCUAGGGUUGGUGAUAUCACCCCUCACCUGUUGCAGCUCCUGCCUCUCUCUUCCCAAAAACCUCUGCAGCUUUCACUUCCCCAGCAUGAUCUUCUUAAUUAGUUUAGGCUUUCACAAAAGACUGGAAGAGCAGUGGCCUGAAAGCAACAUCUGAAAUAUCAACUUUUUUGUGACCAGAGACACCAAGAGGGAUUUGGCAAGAGGAAAAGAUGGAGUCGGAGGCUCCAGGCUCAGUCCUUGGAGCUCUUCUCUCUGUAUCCUCUUUCUAGGUGAAAUUCACCCAUAUGGUGAUGACAUUCAAAUUUACGUCUCCAACCUGGAUCUCUCUUUUAAAC
rnacentral:antisense_RNA from 1 species